UUCUUUUCUUUUUUUCCUAUUUUGAGACCAGGUCUCAGUUUGUAGCCCAGGCUGGCCCGGUACUUCCUGUGUAGUCUGAGAUAACUUAGAAUCUGCAGUCCCCUUGCUUGUGCCUUACAAGUGCUUGGCUUACAGGUAUGAGUCACCACGCCCAGCUAGAGUGGCCUUUUCAGGGGGCACCUAAAAUCCAUCUAUACCCUUCAUAUCAUUCUUGAUAAAACAAAGUCCUUGCUGCAGUCAAGAGACCCCUUCUUCCUAUCAAUAUCUGGUGCCCACCUCCUCUCGUCUGUUGGGAUGGAGCCACUGAUGAGCCCUGGCUCCAUUUCUGGUGUAUUUUGAAGAGAAAGCCAUUAAGAUUUCACAAGGAAGCUGGGUGGUAGUAGUGACGGUACGCGCCUUUAAUCCCAGCACUUGGGAGGCAGCCGCGGGCAGCUCUUGCAGUUCAAGCCAAGUCUGGUCUACAGAGUGAAUUCUAGGAAGCCAGGGCUACACAGAGCAACCCUGUCUUGAAGAGCAAACACAAAGAUUUGCCAAGGGACUGGAGGAGGAUCGUGAGAGGAACUGCAGAGUCAAGGUCGUCUGUGGUGGUAUUUCUUAUCUAGACCUCAUGUCAUCUUGCUUCCAGGACCACAUCAUGGUGAAGAUGGCCGGGAGGCUCUGGCGGCAAUGGUACUGCCGCUCGGGUCUUUGCCCCCCCCCCCCCCCCCCCCGCGUGCUCUACACUCCUUGUUUCAGGUGAGGAAACACGUCACAGAUGUGAAGUGAGUGACCCAAGGUCGCCCAGCUGGAAAGUCACAACUCCAGCUCCAAAGAAACAUACAUGUGAGCCCACGGACUUCAUCUGCACCUGAGGCAUUGUGGCGCUGAUCCUGGGACCUGACUGCCUGGGUGUAACCUCAACUCUGCCAGCUGCUGACUUAACUCUCUCUGUGCCUGUGUUUCCUCGUCAGGAAAAGGCGAUGAGUUGUAACAAUGUGUCCACCCUGGCUGGCACGGCUGGGAAGACUGAAGGGGAUAAUGUGUAUGACCGACUUGGCACUGUGAAGCUAUCCUCCUUACUGUUCCCACUGCUCUAGGUCUGAGCUCCUCCCCCGGCCAUGGCGGGCAAGUCCAGAGGGUGGAGAGGAAAGCCAGGCUGAGAAUUUCUUGCCUCAUCAUCCUCGAUGUUCAGGAGCAGAGAGGGCACAGGACAGAGGAGGGGCCGCGUGACUGCCCGGGCUGCUGAGCAAUUUACUGGAGAAGCUCAUUUGGCAACUCUGAUUCCAAGUUAAUUAAAGAUGGCCACCGGGGGUCAUUGCCAUGGUGACAAUUAGGCCAGAAAGAAGCCUCAUUAAGUAAUAUAAGUGCAUAGAUGAAAAUGAGAAGUCCCGGGAAGUCACAAAAGAGACUGUCCCUGCUGUACCCCACCCCAGACAUAAUGUCUGUUGACAUUUUCCGUGUGAUAAGUGAAGCACAGGCUAUAGGAUGCAAAGAACGGAGAAGAGGAACAUGGACUUCGGUGUCUGUGCCCUUUUCUACUGUGUGUAUUUUAUCAGAAAAAUGUCGAAUAAACGGCAGUGAAAAUACCAA